rnacentral:rRNA from 1 species
GUUUGCAACCAUGCCACCCUGAAUAAGCCCGAUCCUAUCUGACCUCAGAAGCUAAGCAGGGUCGGGCCUGGUUAGUACUUGGAUGGGAGACUACCUAGGUGCUGUAGGCGUCAAAAC